GAUGAACGCUGGCGGCGUGCCUAAUACAUGCAAGUCGAGCGAACAGAUGAGGAGCUUGCUCCUCUGACGUUAGCGGCGGACGGGUGAGUAACACGUGGAUAACCUACCUAUAAGACUGGGAUAACUUCGGGAAACCGGAGCUAAUACCGGAUAAUAUAUUGAACCGCAUGGUUCAAUAGUGAAAGACGGUUUUGUUGUCACUUAUAGAUGGAUCCGCGCCGCAUUAGCUAGUUGGUAAGGUAACGGCUUACCAAGGCGACGAUGCGUAGCCGACCUGAGAGGGUGAUCGGCCACACUGGAACUGAGACACGGUCCAGACUCCUACGGGAGGCAGCAGUAGGGAAUCUUCCGCAAUGGCCGAAAGCCUGACGGAGCAACGCCGCGUGGGUGAUGAAGGUCUUCGGAUCGUAAACUCUGUUAUUAGGGAAGAACAAAUGUGUAAGUAACUAUGCACGUCUUGACGGUACCUAAUCAGAAAGCCACGGCUAACUACGUG
rnacentral:rRNA from 1 species